rnacentral:rRNA from 1 species
AUUGAACGCUGGCGGCAGGCCUAACACAUGCAAGUCGAGCGGAUGAGGAAAGCUUGCUUUUCGAUUCAGCGGCGGACGGGUGAGUAAUGCCUAGGAAUCUGCCUGUUAGUGGGGGAUAACUCGGGGAAACUCGGGCUAAUACCGCAUACGUCACACGGGAGAAAGUGGGGGAUCUUCGGACCUCACGCUAACAGAUGAGCCUAGGUCGGAUUAGCUAGUAGGUGAGGUAAUGGCCCACCUAGGCGACGAUCCGUAACUGGUCUGAGAGGAUGAUCAGUCACACUGGAACUGAGACACGGUCCAGACUCCUACGGGAGGCAGCAGUGGGGAAUAUUGGACAAUGGGCGAAAGCCUGAUCCAGCCAUGCCGCGUGUGUGAAGAAGGUCUUCGGAUUGUAAAGCACUUUAAGUUGGGAGGAAGGGUAUUCACCUAAUACGUGGGUACUUUGACGUUACCAACAGAAUAAGCACCGGCUAACUCUGUGCCAGCCGCCGCGGUAACAC